GUGCACCAGGCGAGAAUUUUUCUCAAUGGGGGCAACCCUGAAGGAGCGACGCCGCGUGGAGGAUGAAGGCUUUCGGGUUGUAAACUCCUGUCAUUUGAGAACAAGUGUAGCCAAGUAACUACUGACUACUUGAUAGUAUCAGAAGAGGAAGAGACGGCUAACUCUGUGCCAGCAGCCGCGGUAAUACAGAGGUCUCAAGCGUUGUUCGGAUUCAUUGGGCGUAAAGGGUGCGUAGGUGGCGCCAUAAGUCGGGUGUGAGAUCUCGGGGGCUUAACUCCGAAACUGCAUUCGAUACUGUGGUGCUUGAGGACUGGAGAGGAGACUGGAAUUCAUGGUGUAGCAGUGAAAUGCGUAGAGAUCAUGAGGAAGACCAGUGGCGAAGGCGGGUCUCUGGACAGUUCCUGGCACUGAGGCACGAAGGCCAGGGGAGCAAACGGGAUUAGAUACCCCUAUAGU
rnacentral:rRNA from 1 species